AUACGUAGGGGGCGAGCGUUGUCCGGAAUGAUUGGGCGAAAAGGGCGCGUAGGCGGCCAGGUAAGUCUGGAGUGAAAGUCCUGUUUUUAAGAUGGGAAUUGCUUUGGAUACUGUCGGGCUUGAGUGCAGGAGAGGUAAGUGGAAUUCCCAGGUGAGCGGUGAAAUGCGUAGAGAUUGGGAGGAACACCAGUGGCGAAGGCGACUUACUGGACUGUAACUGACGCUGAGGCGCGAAAGUGUGGGGAGCAAACAGGAUUAGAUACCCUGGUAGUCCACACUGUAAACGAUGAAUGCUAGGUGUAGGGGGUAUCGACCCCUUCUGUGCCGCAGUCAACACAAUAAGCAUUCCGCCUGGGGAGUACGAUCGCAAGAUUGAAACUCAAAGGAAUUGACGGGG
rnacentral:rRNA from 1 species